AUUGAACGCUGGCGGCAGGCCUAACACAUGCCAGUCGAGCGGAUGAAGGGAGCUUGCUCCUGGAUUCAGCGGCGGACGGGUGAGUAAUGCCUAGGAAUCUGCCUGGUAGUGGGGGAUAACGUCCGGAAACGGGCGCUAAUACCGCAUACGUCCUGAGGGAGGAAGUGGGGGAUCUUCGGACCUCACGCUAUCAGAUGAGCCUAGGUCGGAUUAGCUAGUUGGUGGGGUAAAGGCCUACCAAGGCGACGAUCCGUAACUGGUCUGAGAGGAUGAUCAGUCACACUGGAACUGAGACACGGUCCAGACUCCUACGGGAGGCAGCAGUGGGGAAUAUUGGACAAUGGGCGAAAGCCUGAUCCAGCCAUGCCGCGUGUGUGAAGAAGGUCUUCGGAUUGUAAAGCACUUUAAGUUGGGAGGAAGGGCAGUAAGUUAAUACCUUGCUGUUUUGACGUUACCAACAGAAUAAGCACCGGCUAACUUCGUG
rnacentral:rRNA from 1 species